GGGUUGUGAGGUUAAGCGACUAAGCGUACACGGUGGAUGCCCUGGCAGUCAGAGGCGAUGAAGGGCGUACUAAUCUGCGAUAAGCGCCGGUAAGGUGAUAUGAACCGUUAUAACCGGCGAUACCCGAAUGGGGAAACCCAGUGUGAUUCGUCACACUAUCAUUAACUGAAUCCAUAGGUUAAUGAGGCGAACCGGGGGAACUGAAACAUCUAAGUACCCCGAGGAAAAGAAAUCAACCGAGAUUCCCCCAGUAGCGGCGAGCGAACGGGGAGGAGCCCAGAGCCUGAAUCAGCAUGUGUGUUAGUGGAAGCGUCUGGAAAGGCGCGCGAUACAGGGUGACAGCCCCGUACACAAAAGCGCAUGUGCUGUGAGCUCGAUGAGUAGGGCGGGACACGUGGUAUCCUGUCUGAAUAUGGGGGGACCAUCCUCCAAGGCUAAAUACUCCUGACUGACCGAUAGUGAACCAGUACCGUGAGGGAAAGGCGAAAAGAACCCCGGCGAGGGGAGUGAAAAAGAACCUGAAACCGUGUACGUACAAGCAGUGGGAGCCCCACCACCAAAGCAUUUGCUGUACCGCGUUGACGGAGCGAAGCGACGUCAAACCGAUAAAACAGCAGUGUAAAGUGAGCCGCAGGGCGCUUUGCGCGACAGCGCAAAGGCAGGCGGUUUCGCGUAGCGAAAGCGAAUGCUUUGGGGUGGGGUGACUGCGUACCUUUUGUAUAAUGGGUCAGCGACUUAUAUUCUGUAGCAAGGUUAACCGAAUAGGGGAGCCGGAGGGAAACCGAGUCUUAAUUGGGCGUUAAGUUGCAGGGUAUAGACCCGAAACCCGGUGAUCUAGCCAUGGGCAGGUUGAAGGUUGGGUAACACUAACUGGAGGACCGAACCGACUAAUGUUGAAAAAUUAGCGGAUGACCUGUGGCUGGGGGUGAAAGGCCAAUCAAACCGGGAGAUAGCUGGUUCUCCCCGAAAGCUAUUUAGGUAGCGCCUCGUGAAUUCAUCUCCGGGGGUAGAGCACUGUUUCGGCUAGGGGGCCAUCCCGGCUUACCAACCCGAUGCAAACUGCGAAUACCGGAGAAUGUUAUCACGGGAGACACACGGCGGGUGCUAACGUCCGUCGUGAAGAGGGAAACAACCCAGACCGCCAGCUAAGGUCCCAAAGUCAUGGUUAAGUGGGAAACGAUGUGGGAAGGCCCAGACAGCCAGGAUGUUGGCUUAGAAGCAGCCAUCAUUUAAAGAAAGCGUAAUAGCUCACUGGUCGAGUCGGCCUGCGCGGAAGAUGUAACGGGGCUAAACCAUGCACCGAAGCUGCGGCAGCGACACUGUGUGUUGUUGGGUAGGGGAGCGUUCUGUAAGCCUGCGAAGGUGGCCUGUGAGGGUUGCUGGAGGUAUCAGAAGUGCGAAUGCUGACAUAAGUAACGAUAAAGCGGGUGAAAAGCCCGCUCGCCGGAAGACCAAGGGUUCCUGUCCAACGUUAAUCGGGGCAGGGUGAGUCGACCCCUAAGGCGAGGCCGAAAGGCGUAGUCGAUGGGAAACGGGUUAAUAUUCCCGUACUUGGUGUUACUGCGAAGGGGGGACGGAGAAGGCUAUGUUGGCCGGGCGACGGUUGUCCCGGUUUAAGCGUGUAGGUGUGUGUUCCAGGUAAAUCCGGUUCACUUUAACACUGAGGCGUGACGACGAGGCACUACGGUGCUGAAGCAACAAAUGCCCUGCUUCCAGGAAAAGCCUCUAAGCAUCAGGUAACAUCAAAUCGUACCCCAAACCGACACAGGUGGUCAGGUAGAGAAUACCAAGGCGCUUGAGAGAACUCGGGUGAAGGAACUAGGCAAAAUGGUGCCGUAACUUCGGGAGAAGGCACGCUGACACGUAGGUGAAGUGAUUUACUCAUGGAGCUGAAGUCAGUCGAAGAUACCAGCUGGCUGCAACUGUUUAUUAAAAACACAGCACUGUGCAAACACGAAAGUGGACGUAUACGGUGUGACGCCUGCCCGGUGCCGGAAGGUUAAUUGAUGGGGUCAGCGCAAGCGAAGCUCCUGAUCGAAGCCCCGGUAAACGGCGGCCGUAACUAUAACGGUCCUAAGGUAGCGAAAUUCCUUGUCGGGUAAGUUCCGACCUGCACGAAUGGCGUAAUGAUGGCCAGGCUGUCUCCACCCGAGACUCAGUGAAAUUGAACUCGCUGUGAAGAUGCAGUGUACCCGCGGCAAGACGGAAAGACCCCGUGAACCUUUACUAUAGCUUGACACUGAACAUUGAGCCUUGAUGUGUAGGAUAGGUGGGAGGCUUUGAAGUGUGGACGCCAGUCUGCAUGGAGCCGACCUUGAAAUACCACCCUUUAAUGUUUGAUGUUCUAACGUGGACCCGUUACCCGGGUUGCGGACAGUGUCUGGUGGGUAGUUUGACUGGGGCGGUCUCCUCCUAAAGAGUAACGGAGGAGCACGAAGGUUGGCUAAUCCUGGUCGGACAUCAGGAGGUUAGUGCAAUGGCAUAAGCCAGCUUGACUGCGAGCGUGACGGCGCGAGCAGGUGCGAAAGCAGGUCAUAGUGAUCCGGUGGUUCUGAAUGGAAGGGCCAUCGCUCAACGGAUAAAAGGUACUCCGGGGAUAACAGGCUGAUACCGCCCAAGAGUUCAUAUCGACGGCGGUGUUUGGCACCUCGAUGUCGGCUCAUCACAUCCUGGGGCUGAAGUAGGUCCCAAGGGUAUGGCUGUUCGCCAUUUAAAGUGGUACGCGAGCUGGGUUUAGAACGUCGUGAGACAGUUCGGUCCCUAUCUGCCGUGGGCGCUGGAGAACUGAGGGGGGCUGCUCCUAGUACGAGAGGACCGGAGUGGACGCAUCACUGGUGUUCGGGUUGUCAUGCCAAUGGCACUGCCCGGUAGCUAAAUGCGGAAGAGAUAAGUGCUGAAAGCAUCUAAGCACGAAACUUGCCCCGAGAUGAGUUCUCCCUGAGACUUAAAGUCUCCUGAAGGAACGUUGAAGACGACGACGUUGAUAGGCCGGGUGUGUAAGCGCAGCGAUGCGUUGAGCUAACCGGUACUAAUGAACCGUGAGGCUUAACCUUACAACGCCGAAG
rnacentral:rRNA from 2 species